rnacentral:rRNA from 1 species
AGUGAACGCUGGCGGCAGGCCUAACACAUGCAAGUCGAACGGCAGCACAGUAAGAGCUUGCUCUGACGGGUGGCGAGUGGCGGACGGGAGAGGUAUACAACGGAAUCUACUUUUUCGUGGGGGAUAAGGUAGGGAAACCUACGAUAAUACCGCAUACGACCUACGAGUGAAAGGAGGUGAUAAUCGGACCUUUCGCGGAUGAAUGAGCGGAUGUCGGAUUAGAUAGUUGGCGGGGUAAAGGCCAACCCAGGCGACGAUAGGUAGCUGGUCUGAGAGGACGAUCGCCGACACUGGAACUGAGACGCCCACCAGACUCCUACGAGAGGCACCAGACUGGAAUAUUGGACAAUAGGGGCAAGCAUGAUCCAGCCAGACCACGUCUGUGAAGAAGACCUUCGGGUUGGAAAGCCCUUUUUUUGGGAAAGAAACGCAUCCGGUUAAUACGCCGCUGUUCUGACGGUACCCAAAGAAUAAGCACCGGCUAACUUCGUG